rnacentral:pre_miRNA from 1 species
AAAGCAUCAUGCAGCCAAGGAUGACUUGCCGACACUUCAUCUAGGAGUUGGCAAGUUGUUCUUGGCUAUAUGUUUCUUUCU